GUAAACCACAGUUUUAGAACUAAACACAUCUGUAAAAGUAAAUAUAGCAUGGAAAAAUCUAAUUCAAAAAAGUCAUGUUUUCUUAGCAUUUAAAAACAGAAAGCCUCUCUCUGGAAAGAGAAGUCACGCAGACAGACAAGCAUGUGCCCCAGAAAAGUGAGUGCUUUAAAGACUAAAACUAACAACUUUGAAGGGGGAGAAACACUGCUAUAGGAUGACAUGCAAACGUUGUUUUCUCCCUCUUCUCUGCCAACUCUGCUUUGAACUAGUGAAGGCCUCGCCUUCCCACAAGGCCUUUCCUUCACCCUCCUUACUGUUUUUUUCAGAUGUGGUGACAGAGGAAAGCAGGCACUGUGCAGCGUGACAGUGGGGGACUCUGGCUGGCACUGUCUGUACCUCUGGAAUACCUCAUGACUUGAGUUUACAUACUUUCCUAAUAUUUUUCCAUUUUUCUUAUUUAUCUGUGCAGAGAAUUCUUUAUAGAUUAAGAACAUAGUUUUAUUCUUUAAAAUAAAUAAAUCGCCCCAUAACUCAGAUAUUAUGUUAUGAGUACCCUGUCUAAACCAAUAUAAACACCUUCUUCAAUAUGUAUGCACACAACAAAGGCAAGUUAAUGGAUCAAAAGUACUUUCGUGCAUACAGCUGCAGCACAACUAUAUUCUUUCUCAGCGAACCCCUGUGGGGAUGAAUAGAUGCUCAGGUUCUUUGGGAGCCUGAGUGAUUGAUUUUAAGUGGGGAAACCCAGGCACUGCUCGGCCUUUUGGCAGCAAGUGGGAAACCCCACAGCAGGGUCGAAAUUGAUGUAUUUGUCAUAAUGGAACAGCGUAUAAAGGAGUCUUAGGAUUAUAUUGACCACAUAAAAGUGAAGGCAUGAGGAAUUCUGGAAACCGUCAGGCUAGCUUCUAUGUCCGCUAAGAACCUAAGACUUUGGUAUGUGCUAGAACAAAGUGCCAUGCUUCAGGAAACUUUUACCAAGUGUUUUGCUGAGGACACACAACUCCUGGGAUGUCUCACCCACAGAGCGCCACCUCUCUCUUUUUCAGAUAUUCUUGCUACUGCUACUAGCUUUGGAGAAAAAAACUGAGGGAGUUAAAAGUAUAACUGUGUAUGACUACUUUACCUAUGUAUGCAAAAGUAUUUAAAAAAAAUCACUCUGUGAUGUUUAUACCCCAGUGGUUGACAAAUGCCAGCUUUUUAAGCAAACAAAGAGUGAUCAGUCCUUCUUAUAGCUUUAGUUUAUCUGUCUUCCUGAAGACAGAGAACAGGCUCAAGUGUGUACUCAGGUUCCUCCAGCUCAGAGUUAUUUCCCGUUCCUCAGAAGUGAGUUUCAUUCCCUGGGUGAGUGAAUAAGUUUAAGGAAAACCACAGUAACUAUAGACAGAAGAGUAAAAUAAUUUUUUAAUGCAGAAGAAUAAGUCUAGAAACCCAUGUCCUGUGUGAUUACCUCUCUGAGGGUGAAGCUUUCCAAAGAAUGUGCUGGGUAAAAUUAGAGAAUUCCAUCUUUGAGUAAAGAUGGAUAUAUAUCUUUAUGUGAAUGGAUAAAGCUAUAUCUAUAGAGAUAUAUAACCCCUAUGUCCUGAACUUAUACAUAUCUUAAAUACAUAUCUCUUAAGGCUAAAGAGAUAUGUAAUUUAAUACAUGUGUACCCGUUUGAAACUAUGGAGAUAAAUGUUUGUAUACAUACACAUGUACAUGUAUAUACAUUUACAGUUAUUUCUGUUUACCUGAACUAAUUUGAGAUCAGACCCAAACAUUUUAAGUUAUUUUAAAUUAAAUUUUCUAUGUACUUACACUGCUUGAGUUAUCUUAAAAUCUUAGUGUAUCUUCUUAACAAGUUCACAUUUUCUUAUUUAAAUGUGUUACCUACCAAUUUACCCAAACAGUAUAGUAAAAACAAACUGGUAAUCCUUUCAUGCUGUUGUUGUGCAGUGGGUUCAAAAGCAACACCCCUAGGGUUCUAAUUACAUAUAGUUGCGUUUCAGCUAACACCAGUUCACCCAAAUUGUUUCUCCUUCCUCCAGAAAAACUUGGUUACCUAUGGCUUAGCCUUUCGAGUUAAUCCUGGGUCCAGUGUGGUUCUCCUGUACCAACAGCCAUCGUUUCCCUCUGAGGAAUCUAACCGAUGUAGCUGGGUGAGAAUGAGACCCAGAGAAAGAUGAUAAUAAUCUCAAUAAUAAUCAAUAAAGAAGAUAGCAUGUUCUCCCUUCUGAAAUAAGUUUUCUGAAUAUUCAAAGGGUAUUUGCUCUCUUGUCAUAGGUGAAGGUGGUUUCUAUGGCCCAGAGGCAAGCCACUAGUACUCCCCACAGCCCAGCUUUCAAGGCCCCACUGGCAUGCUCUUGAACACCAAGCCCGUUUCCCCACACCCAGGAAAGAGCAAUUUAUGUCUCUUGAGGGUAGAACCAGCGUAAGCUCAUCUGAAUCAAGUUGGUUUUUGUGUGGAUUUUAAAGACUAAAGAUUUCCUACUUUCUUUAAAUAUCCUCCCCCCCCUUUUUUUUUACUAUAAAAGGUAUUUUGUAUAUAGAUGUCUUUUAAAAGUGAAAAUACUACAGCAAUACAAAAUGUUAUUGUUUGGUGUCCUUAUAACAAGCAAGGGAUUCACAGUUCAGACGCUGCCCCCUGGAAACAGGGAAGACACAGCAAGUACAAGUAACAUGCCCUGUGCUUCCCAGAGCUUGGCUGCAGAAAUGUGGAGUUAAUACAACAGGAACCUUUUUGUGUGUUUUGUGGUGUUUAUCCUGUAUAUUUUGUGAUUUCUUUUACUCCUAUU
rnacentral:lncRNA from 1 species